GUUAGUGUGGCAGAGCCCGGAACUGCAAAAGGCCUAAACCCUUUCAACAGAGGUUCAAAUCCUCUUCCUAACA
rnacentral:tRNA from 1 species